GUAGGUAUUUUCAGCUGGGAGUUGCUGCCUUGGAUUACCUUCAUCCUGCACGCAGGGACAGCACGGAGAAGAGUUGGGGACUGCAGGCUCUACAGCAGGGCUGGAGGAAUCAUGCUGGGGAGCCACAGCCAGGACUGCCUGAGCUGCUGAGGGAAAGCUGCUUCCAGAGCGGGGCACAGCAGGGACCAAAGGAUGCCAUUCACUGGCUGCGAACUGGGGAUGGAUCUGACUUAGAAGUCCCUGCAGGAAGCA